CAGGUGCGAUCGCUUCACCUAUGGGCUUGACGGGAAAAUUCAAAAUCGCGAACCGUUACAGCCUGGACUACUCUUUGUUUGCUUGCACAUCAACAGUAAGAGGUCAUGUACACUGUGGUCAACUUUGUGGACGCUGAAGAGGUUUCUGGGUAAAGAUGAUAGAAAUAUAAUGAAGUAACAGUGGAAGCUAAAACAUCAGACUGAUCCAGACACUGAAGAAAUUGAUGUCACUGCAAUCUGGCCAAAAUGAUACAACUAUAUUGAAGUAGCCUACUGUAAUGAAGCUGCAGAACGACACAGAGACUCUGAGGACAUCAACACAGAAAAUCUAGGCUCCAAAGAGAUGUCUGUCCAGAUGAGGGUGCAUCAACGUUACCUUUGCUGACAAGUAUAUGCUUUUAGCAGUUAACUUAACUCAAACCAUUUAAGGAAAUCGGUUGCCUUAAACCAUUAAGUUUUAAAAAACAUACAUUUGAGUACUUUGAACUUAAGUCUUGUGCAAUUAUGCACUUAUAUUUAGGUAGCGUGAACUUAAACAAAUUGAGUCACAUGCAGUUAAGCACUUAUAUUUAAGUUCACAGUACUCAAAUCUAUGUGUUUUAAAACUUGAAUGGUUUAAUGCAACCGGUUUUCUUAAAUGUGAGAUAUUACAGUGUUACAGUGAGAAAUGUUUGAAUAAUUCCAAGACAGAGCUCUGUGAUCAAUUAUACACUGCAAAAAAUCACUUUCUAACACUUUUUAUCUUGUUUUCAGUAGAAAAACUAAAAAUUCUUAAAUCAAGAUGUAUUUUCUUGAUGAGCAAAAUUACCUUAGAAAAUAUGUCUAGUUUUUAGACAAAAAUAUACAAUUUAAGAUAAUUUGUGCCUAAACAAGCAAAAAUAUCUAACAUUGGGGUGAGAAAAUUGUGUUUUAAUUAAGUUUUUAAGAUAAAAGAAAACUUAAGAUUUUUUUCUCACACUAUUGGAAGAUAUUUUUGCUUGUUUUAAGCACAAAUUCACUUAAUGUAUGUGUGUGUAUUUUAUUUAUUUAUUUUGUCUAAAACUAGACUUAUUUUCUUGGGUCAUUUUGUUCCUCAAGAACAAGCAUUUUAAUUUAAAUAAUAUUUGUACUGAAAACAAGACAAAAAUACUAUGUAAGAAAGUCAUUUUUUGCAGUGUAGGACUGAUUUCUUAAGAGCAAGAUCAAUAUAGUUGUUGUUCAUUUUAUUUAGAUAUUUACUACAUUACAGUGGCAGCUGGUGACUUCUUUUUUUUUUUGUGAGCACUCGAUGCGAAGUUUGUCACAACAUGUAUAUAGCCCGUCAUUUGUGUGGUUCUCAAUUUCAAAAUAUGUGUUCUGCGUGUAUGUGUAUCACGUGUUUUGACUAAACACGUGAUGCACGUGGUUUACAUGAAGCAACAAACGCAUAUUUUAAAAACACAAGCAACACACAUGACACUCCGAACACUUAUUUUGAACACUUAUUUUGAAUUUGCAACCCUCGGAUGAGCAGUCACGAGCCGCCACUGCUACAUUACAUUGUACUGCUUUGAAUGUAGUUUUCAUUGUUGCUUUUAUUUUGUUUUAUUUUACUCUAAUAUUGCUUUCUCUGUCUGUAUAUUUAUGAGUUUAAAUUGUAUUGUUUAU